GACGAACGCUGGCGGCGUGCUUAACACAUGCAAGUCGAACGGUGAACUUGGAGCGUGCUCUGGGGGAUUAGUGGCGAACGGGUGAGUAACACGUGAGUAACCUGCCCUGGACUCUGGGAUAACUUCGAGAAAUCGGAGCUAAUACCGGAUAGGACCUUGCACCGCAUGGUGUGGGGUGGAAAGUUUAUCGGUUUGGGAUGGACUCGCGGCCUAUCAGCUUGUUGGUGAGGUAAUGGCUCACCAAGGCGUCGACGGGUAGCCGGCCUGAGAGGGUGACCGGCCACACUGGGACUGAGACACGGCCCAGACUCCUACGGGAGGCAGCAGUGGGGAAUAUUGCACAAUGGGCGCAAGCCUGAUGCAGCAACGCCGCGUGCGGGAUGACGGCCUUCGGGUUGUAAACCGCUUUUAGUAGGGAAGAAGCCUUCGGGUGACGGUACCUGCAGAAAAAGGACCGGCUAACUACGUGCCAGCAGCCGCAGUAACAC
rnacentral:rRNA from 1 species